GCUGGUUCUCCCCGAAAUAGCUUUAGGGCUAGCCUCAGGGAAAAGAUUGCAGGCGGUAGAGCACUGAUCAGGAGAGGGACCUACCCGGUUACCAAACCCAGUCAAACUCCGAAUGGCUGCAAUCAUACCUGGGAGUCAGACUGCGACUAAUAAGGGCCGCAGUCAAAAGGGAAACAGCCCAGACCAUCAGCUAAGGUCCCCAAUGCCGUGCUAAGUGGCGAAGGAUGUGGCAUUUCAUAAACAACCAGGAUGUUGGCUCAGAAGCAGCCACCAUUUAAAGAGUGCGUAAUAGCUCACUGGUCGAGAGACGCUGCGCCGAAAAUGUCCGGGGCUCAAGCACGGAACCGAAGCUAUGGCAUGAUAGCAAUAUCAUGGGUAGGGGAGCGUUCUUAUAAGGAAGAAGCAUGACCGGAAGGACAUGUGGACGAAUAAGAAGUGAGAAUGCCGGUAUGAGUAUCGAAAAGAAAGGUGAGAAUCCUUUCCACCGAAAGCCCGAGGGUUCCUGAGCAACGAUCGUCGACUCAGGGUAAGUCGGGACCUAAGCCGAGGCGAGAAGCGUAGGCGAUGGACAACAGGUUGAAAUUCCUGUACCGGAUCAAGUCGAUCGAGCGAAGGAGCGACGCAGGAGGGCACAUGAUCGCGCGGCUGGAAGAGCGCGUCCAAGUGCGUAUGUUGCUGCAGAGGAAAACCCCUGUAGCUGAAAGCAGAGACAUGAAGGGGAGUUAAAGGAAACUUUGACGAACUCAUGAAUCCCACACUGCCAAGAAAAACUUCUAGCGAGACAAGAUCCGCCCGUACCGUAAACCGACACAGGUAGGCGGGGAGAGAAUCCUAAGGUGCGCGGGAAAACCCUCGUUAAGGAACUCGGCAAAUUGCAUCCGUAACCUAGGGAGAAGGAUGGCCCCCGGUCAGUGAAGAGCAGAAACGCUCAGAGCUAAAAGGGGCGGCAGAAAAGAGGCCCAAGCAACUGUUUACCAAAAACACAGGUGCCUGCGAAAGCGAAAGCUGAAGUAUAGGUGCUGACGCCUGCCCGGUGCCGGAAGGUUAAGGAGAGAAGUUAGCGAAAGCGAAGCAUCGAACUGAAGCCCCGGUGAACGGCGGCCGUAACUAUAACGGUCCUAAGGUAGCGAAAUUCCUUGUCGGGUAAGUUCCGACCCGCAUGAAAGGCGUAAUGAUUUGGGCACUGUCUCAACGAGGGGCCCGGUGAAAUUGAAAUACCUGUGAAGAUGCAGGUUACCCGCGACUGGACAGAAAGACCCCAUGGAGCUUCACUGCAGCUUGAGAUUGAAUCCCGGUGACAGAUGCACAGGAUAGGUGGGAGGCGCCGAAGCAUUGCCCUAGGGCGGUGCGGAGCCGAUGUUGGGAUACCACCCUUCUGUUGCUGAGAUUCUAACGCGAGGAGUAACGACCCUGCGGACCCUCUCAGGCAGGCGGUUUGACUGGGGCGGUCGCCUCCGAAAGAGUAACGGAGGCGCCCAAAGGUUCCCUCAGGCCGGACAGAAACCGGCCGAAGAGUGCAAAGGCAGAAGGGAGCUUGACUGCGAGACCAACAAGUCGAGCAGAGACGAAAGUCGGGCUUAGUGAUCCGGUGGUACUGAGUGGAAAGGCCAUCGCUCAACGGAUAAAAGCUACCCUGGGGAUAACAGGCUAAUCUCUCCCAAGAGUUCAUAUCGACGGGGAGGUUUGGCACCUCGAUGUCGGCUCAUCACAUCCUGGGGCUGGAGUAGGUCCCAAGGGUUGGGCUGUUCGCCCAUUAAAGUGGUACGCGAGCUGGGUUCAAAACGUCGUGAGACAGUUUGGUUCAUAUCCAUCGCGGGCGCAAGAAGUUUGAGAGGAGCUGCUCCUAGUACGAGAGGACCGGAGUGGACGGAUCAACGGUGUCCCAGUUGUCACGCCAGUGGCACGGCUGGAAAGCCGCAUCCGGGAAGGAUAAACGCUGAAAGCAUCUAAGCGCGAAGCCAACCUCAAGAUGAGACUUCU
rnacentral:rRNA from 1 species